rnacentral:ncRNA from 1 species
AUCUUCGGGGAUGGGUGUAAUUCCCUACCGGCGGUAUUUGUUUCAGAUGAAGCAUCUGUUUAUGAGCGAACGAAUCUGGUAACAUAAGCCCGCGAGCCAUUGGCAUGAUUCGGUGAGAGUCCGAAGCCGACAGUACAGUCUGGAUGAGAGAAGAA